GCACGUUAGCAGGUCAUUUCUGGAGGAAUGUCCUUAUCACAAAAGAAAACAAUGGAAGGAAAUCACCUUUCUCAUGAAAACUGCUGAGAGAUUCCCCACUGCAAGGAGAAAACUGGUGACAGAAGGGCUCUGCAUCAAAAAGUAAAGGGAGAACACGGGAGAAAACGACCCUCCUGCACCCAGAUUUUGUCACUUGAUCUAUGUGGAUUGGGAAAGUUAGCAUAAGUUCAUCUGAUUUACGCCUCCAGAAACAUCGCAGCCAUGCUCACUUGGUUUGAUCAGUGUCACUCAUGGGACCUACGUACCCCUGUGCCUCCCCUGGUGUUCUCUGAGCAACGCAGACAAGAGUGGCUUGUAUCAGGGAACUGAGAGGCCUUAACAGCCCUUUUUAUGAGAGCAACUGUCCAGAUGCCUGCCUACCAUCAUCACUGUCAGCCACUAAGGACCUACACCUUUUCUCCAUACGCUAAAAAACAAGCUAGUUCAGACAUUCACAAACUUGCUCUUCUCUUGAAGUCUGUAUCUGGCAUUGCCUUUCUCUGAGUGGCAGAAUACCUUCCAAUUUUUUAUUUGAUCACUUUUGCUCUUUGACAUAAAUCUUUCCCUGACAUGUUUUACUUUGACUGUUCCUAAUAUAGCUGUGCCUAAUGAGACAAAUUCCAAUAGCAGAAGUACUGAUUACGGGAUUAACAGUUUCAUAUCCGAGCAACCAUGAAACUGUAGAGUUCUCUAUUCUUGGAGAUGUCAGAAGGGUGACUAGCAAAACUGCUGUCUUGAACUUCAAGAGGGUGGACUUUGACCUGUUCAGGACGCUUGUAGCACGGGUCCCCUGGGAGUCGCUCCUUAAGGGUAAAGGGAUCCAGGAAGCCUGGACGCUCCUCAAGAUGGAAAUCUUAAAGGCACAAGAACUGGCUGUCCCUGAAUGCCAUAAGGCAAUCCAUAAGGGAAGAAGACUAGUGUGGAUGAACUGGGAAUUACUGUUGAGACUUCUGAAGAAAAGGAGAGUCUAUGUCCUCUGGAAGAAAGGACAGGCUACUCGGGGAGAUUACAAGGAAGUUGCUAAGGUAUGCAGGGAGGACGUUAGGAAGGCAAAAGCCCAACUUGAACUCAGAUUGGCCACUGCAGUAAAAGAGAAUAAGAAAUCCUUUUACAAAUAUAUCAAUAGAAAGAGAAGAACCAAGGGGAAUUUCCAUCCUUUACUUGAUGCAGCGGGGAAUGUGGCCAGUGAGGAUAAGGAGAAGGCUGAGAUCCUCAAUGCUUUCUUUACAUCUGCCUUUAAUAGUCAGAUCAGUUAUCCUCAGGACACUUUGUGCCCUGAUCUGGAAGUCUGGGAUGCUAUGCAGGAUACACCCCCAGUGAUUCAGGUGGAGACCACUAGAGAGCCCCUCCUCCAUCUGGACUGUCACAAAUCCAUGGGACCAGAUGGUCUCCACCCUCGGGUACUGAGGGAG
ensembl:lncRNA